CACGUAGGGCGCAAGCGUUGUCCGGAAUUAUUGGGCGUAAAGAGCUCGUAGGCGGUCUGUUGCGUCCGCUGUGAAAACUCGGGGCUUAACCCCGAGCCUGCAGUGGAUACGGGCAGACUAGAGGUAGGUAGGGGAGAAUGGAAUUCCCGGUGUAGCGGUGAAAUGCGCAGAUAUCAAGAGGAACACCUGCGGCGAAGGCGGGUUGCUGGGCCGACACUGACGCUGAGGCGCGAAAGCUAGGGGAGCGAACGGG
rnacentral:rRNA from 1 species